rnacentral:rRNA from 1 species
GAUGAACGCUGGCGGCGUGCUUAACACAUGCAAGUCGAACGAAGCACUUUAUUUGAUUUCCUUCGGGACUGAUUAUUUUGUGACUGAGUGGCGGACGGGUGAGUAACGCGUGGGUAACCUGCCUUGUACAGGGGGAUAACAGUUGGAAACGGCUGCUAAUACCGCAUAAGCGCACAGCAUCGCAUGAUGCAGUGUGAAAAACUCCGGUGGUAUAAGAUGGACCCGCGUUGGAUUAGCUAGUUGGUGAGGUAACGGCCCUCCAAGGCGACGAUCCAUAGCCGAACUGAGAGGGUGACCGGCCACAUUGGGACUGAGACACGGCCCAAACUCCUACGGGAGGCAGCAGUGGGGAAUAUUGCACAAUGGGCGAAAGCCUGAUGCAGCGACGCCGCGUGAGCGAAGAAGUAUUUCGGUAUGUAAAGCUCUAUCAGCAGGGAAGAUAAUGACGGUACCUGACGAAGAAGCACCGGCUAAAUACGUG